rnacentral:rRNA from 1 species
GAUUGUUAAUAGUGUGUUUAGUUAGGGUUGAGGUAUUGUGAUGAUUAAUUUCGUUGGGGUGAUGGAAGAAUGUUUUGAACUUCUUGUUGAUUAUGCUUUGAUUGAUGGAUAAUUUGGUCCUUUAUUAUGGAUGUAAGAUAAAGAUACCUUAGGGAUAACAGCGUAAUUUUGUUUGAGAGUUCUUAUCGACAAUGAAGAUUGCGACCUCGAUGUUGGAUUAAGUUUACGAAAUGGUGCAGUGAUUAUUUUGUGUUGGUCUGUUCGACCAUUAAAUUCUUACA